AUUGAACGCUGGCGGCAUGCCUUACACAUGCAAGUCGAACGGCAGCACGGGAGCAAUCCUGGUGGCGAGUGGCGAACGGGUGAGUAAUACAUCGGAACGUGCCCAGUAGUGGGGGAUAGCCCGGCGAAAGCCGGAUUAAUACCGCAUGAGACCUGAGGGUGAAAGCGGGGGAUCGCAAGACCUCGCGCUAUUGGAGCGGCCGAUGUCAGAUUAGCUAGUUGGUAGGGUAAAGGCCUACCAAGGCAACGAUCUGUAGUUGGCCUGAGAGGGCGACCGGCCACACUGGAACUGAGACACGGUCCAGACUCCUACGGGAGGCAGCAGUGAGGAAUCUUGCGCAAUGGGCGAAAGCCUGACGCAGCGACGCCGCGUGGAGGAUGAAGGUCUUCGGAUCGUAAACUCCUGUCGAGCGGGACGAAACCCGGGAGGGAUAACACUCCUUCCGGUUGACGGUACCGCUGGAGGAAGCCCCGGCUAACUCCGUGCCAGCAGCCGCCGUAAUAC
rnacentral:rRNA from 1 species